rnacentral:tRNA from 1 species
GCCGCGGUAGCUCAGUUGGGAGAGCGCCGCCCUCGUAAUGCGGAAGUCGCCGGUUCGACCCCGGCUCGCGGCU